rnacentral:rRNA from 1 species
AUACGGAGGAUCCGAGCGUUGUCCGGAUUUAUUGGGUUUAAAGGGAGCGUAGGUGGACAGUUAAGUCAGUUGUGAAAGUUUGCGGCUCAACCGUAAAAUUGCAGUUGAUACUGGCUGUCUUGAGUACAGUAGAGGUGGGCGGAAUUCGUGGUGUAGCGGUGAAAUGCUUAGAUAUCACGAAGAACUCCGAUUGCGAAGGCAGCUCACCGGACUGCAACUGACACUGAUGCUCGAAAGUGUGGGUAUCAAACAGGAUUAGAUACCCUGGUAGUCCACACAGUAAACGAUGAAUACUCGCUGUUUGCGAUAUACAGUAAGCGGCCAAGCGAAAGCAUUAAGUAUUCCACCUGGGGAGUACGCCGGCAACGGUGAAACUUAAAGGAAUUGACGGGG